AUGACUAGGGAUAACCUUAGGAAGAGACACAUCAUCAAACCCCUUGAUUGUGUUUACUGCUUGGAACAAGAGUCUUGUGCUCACCUAUUUUUUGAAUGUAUAGUUGCUAAACAUCUCUGGGCCCACAUUGAGGAAUAUUUCUUUAGUCAGAUUGGCUCAUCCUUCGAAUCUGUCGCCAGAUUCUGGAUUGCUACCAAAAAGUGCUCAGUUUUAAACACUGUUAGCUCAACUGUCCUUUGGUGCCUCUGGAAAUAUAGAAAUGCUAUGAUUUUCAGUACCACCUCCUGGAUUUCCAUUCCGCAGGCCUUGAGGUUGAUCAGGAACAUGGUGAGGAACUGGGUGAUUCUCUCCUCCGGAUCGGACAAGGACAAGUUGAUGAGCUUCGUGGAAACCCUAACAAGAUCCCUCCAGAAACCAUUGGCGAUCACUUGUGGCUGA
rnacentral:rRNA from 1 species